AUGCACGCUGGCGGCGUGCCUAAUACAUGCCAGUCGAGCGAACAGAUAAGGAGCUUGCUCCUUUGACGUUAGCGGCGGACGGGUGAGUAACACGUGGAUAACCUACCUAUAAGACUGGGAUAACUUCGGGAAACCGGAGCUAAUACCGGAUAACAUAUUGAACCGCAUGGUUCAAUAGUGAAAGGCGGCUUUGCUGUCACUUAUAGAUGGAUCCGCGCCGUAUUAGCUAGUUGGUAAGGUAACGGCUUACCAAGGCAACGAUACGUAGCCGACCUGAGAGGGUGAUCGGCCACACUGGAACUGAGACACGGUCCAGACUCCUACGGGAGGCAGCAGUAGGGAAUCUUCCGCAAUGGGCGAAAGCCUGACGGAGCAACGCCGCGUGAGUGAUGAAGGUCUUCGGAUCGUAAAACUCUGUUAUCAGGGAAGAACAAAUGUGUAAGUAACUGUGCACAUCUUGACGGUACCUGAUCAGAAAGCCACGGCUAACUACGUG
rnacentral:rRNA from 1 species